UUUCAGCAAACGUGCUUGGAGUCAGAAAUUCAAUCCAACACCAGUUGAAUGCCUACUGCGUGCCAAGCGCUGGAGAGACAGAGACAGAAACCAAACAGUCCCUGUCCUCAAGGGGCUUUCAUUCUCCUGAUGGGGAGGCAGCAGUAGGGUCCUUUGUAGUCACAUGCAUUUUACUGAGGAAAGAUCCUAGGAUGCCAAGGGGUCCUCAACACCAAAAGGCUUAAGAACCCCUGAUCUUUGCACGGCUUUAUAUGCAUCACAGCUUUGGAAAAAAGCCAUCUGCCCUUGGGGACCAAGCAGAUCAAGGAGAAUCUGGGGUAUGAUCUAACAGGAGAGAGCCCUGACUUUGAAGUCAUCGGAUCUGGGUUCAAAUCUUGUCUCUGGCACUUAAGAGCUGAGUGGCCCUGGGUGAGCUACUUAACCCUCUAGCCAUGUUUCCUCAACAAUAAAAUGAGGCACUCAGACUGGA